GGAGGGUUAACUCAGUGGUGAAGUGCAUGCUUAGCAUGCAGGAGGUCCUGAGUUCAAUCCCCAGUACUUCCA
rnacentral:tRNA from 1 species